rnacentral:SRP_RNA from 1 species
CGGCUGUAAUGGUCAUUCUCAUCUGAGAGGCGCAUUGAAACCGUAACUCCUUUCCCUUCCAAUGCUGAAGCGAGGGCCCAGUUCGAAUCCGGUGGUGCCCGACCAACUCGUACAGGUAACUUGCGAUGAAGGUGGGCUUAAGCAAUGAAGUCGACCGUCGAGGGAAGCAAUUCUGCAGACACGACUUCACCAUUGGAUGGCGGUGCUGGAAUACCCUCACUUCGGUUUGGGAUAGGUGUUAUGGACUGAUGAAUCAACCAGGUAUU